rnacentral:rRNA from 1 species
CCUACGGGAGGCUGCAGUGGGGAAUAUUGGACAAUGGGGGGAACCCUGAUCCAGCCAUGCCGCGUGUGUGAAGAAGGCCCUCGGGUUGUAAAGCACUUUCAGUGAGGAAGAACGCCUGUUGGUUAAUACCCAUCAGGAAAGACAUCACUCACAGAAGAAGCACCGGCUAACUCCGUGCCAGCAGCCGCGGUAAUACGGAGGGUGCGAGCGUUAAUCGGAAUUACUGGGCGUAAAGCGCGCGUAGGUGGCUUGAUAAGCCGGUUGUGAAAGCCCCGGGCUCAACCUGGGAACGGCAUCCGGAACUGUCAAGCUAGAGUGCAGGAGAGGAAGGUAGAAUUCCCGGUGUAGCGGUGAAAUGCGUAGAGAUCGGGAGGAAUACCAGUGGCGAAGGCGGCCUUCUGGACUGACACUGACACUGAGGUGCGAAAGCGUGGGUAGCAAACAGGAUUAGAUACCCGUGUAGUC